rnacentral:rRNA from 1 species
GACGAACGCUGGCGGCGUGCUUAACACAUGCAAGUCGAACGGUAAGGCCCUUCGGGGUACACGAGUGGCGAACGGGUGAGUAACACGUGGGUGAUCUGCCCUGCACUUCGGGAUAAGCCUGGGAAACUGGGUCUAAUACCGGAUAGGACCACUGCCUGCAGGGGUGGCGGUGGAAAGCUUUUGCGGUGUGGGAUAGGCCCGCGGCCUAUCAGCUUGUUGGUGGGGUGAUGGCCUACCAAGGCGACGACGGGUAGCCGGCCUGAGAGGGUGACCGGCCACACUGGGACUGAGAUACGGCCCAGACUCCUACGGGAGGCAGCAGUGGGGAAUAUUGCACAAUGGGCGCAAGCCUGAUGCAGCGACGCCGCGUGAGGGAUGACGGCCUUCGGGUUGUAAACCUCUUUCAGCACCGACGAAGCGCAAGUGACGGUAGGUGCAGAAGAAGGACCGGCCAACUACGUGCCAGCCGCCGCAGUAA